AGAUGUGAGGGCAAUCUGGCUGCAACAUCUGUCACCCCAUUGAUCUUCAGGGUUGAUUCGGCUGAUCUGGCUGGCUAGGCGGGUGUCCCCUUCCUCCCUCACCCCUCCACGUGCUUCCCUCCCGAAGCUACGUGCUCAGUGGAAGAGGACGACCAUCCCUGACAGAGGAGGACCGUUCUUCUUGGUCAAGGGUAUACGAGUAGCUGUGCUCUCCUGCUAGACCCUCCACACAAGCUCUCAAGUCCAAAAUUAAAGUCGGUGCUCUCAAAUGCUGGGGCUGCUUUUUCAGCUAAGUUUACGUGAUAUUCUAAAUCCUU
rnacentral:snRNA from 1 species